rnacentral:rRNA from 1 species
AAAUUGAAGAGUUUGAUCAUGGCUCAGAUUGAACGCUGGCGGCAGGCCUAACACAUGCAAGUCGAGCGGAAACGAGUUGUCUGAACCUUCGGGGAACGAUAACGGCGUCGAGCGGCGGACGGGUGAGUAAUGCCUAGGAAAUUGCCCUGAUGUGGGGGAUAACCAUUGGAAACGAUGGCUAAUACCGCAUAACGCCUACGGGCCAAAGAGGGGGACCUUCGGGCCUCUCGCGUCAGGAUAUGCCUAGGUGGGAUUAGCUAGUUGGUGAGGUAAGGGCUCACCAAGGCGACGAUCCCUAGCUGGUCUGAGAGGAUGAUCAGCCACACUGGAACUGAGACACGGUCCAGACUCCUACGGGAGGCAGCAGUGGGGAAUAUUGCACAAUGGGCGCAAGCCUGAUGCAGCCAUGCCGCGUGUGUGAAGAAGGCCUUCGGGUUGUAAAGCACUUUCAGUCGUGAGGAAGGCAGUAUCGUUAAUAGCGGUAUUGUUUGACGUUAGCGACAGAAGAAGCACCGGCUAACUCCGUGCCAGCAGCCGCGGUAAUACGGAGGGUGCGAGCGUUAAUCGGAAUUACUGGGCGUAAAGCGCAUGCAGGUGGUUUGUUAAGUCAGAUGUGAAAGCCCGGGGCUCAACCCCGGAAUAGCAUUUGAAACUGGCAGACUAGAGUACUGUAGAGGGGGGUAGAAUUUCAGGUGUAGCGGUGAAAUGCGUAGAGAUCUGAAGGAAUACCGGUGGCGAAGGCGGCCCCCUGGACAGAUACUGACACUCAGAUGCGAAAGCGUGGGGAGCAAACAGGAUUAGAUACCCUGGUAGUCCACGCCGUAAACGAUGUCUACUUGGAGGUUGUGGCCUUGAGCCGUGGCUUUCGGAGCUAACGCGUUAAGUAGACCGCCUGGGGAGUACGGUCGCAAGAUUAAAACUCAAAUGAAUUGACGGGGGCCCGCACAAGCGGUGGAGCAUGUGGUUUAAUUCGAUGCAACGCGAAGAACCUUACCUACUCUUGACAUCCAGAGAACUUUCCAGAGAUGGAUUGGUGCCUUCGGGAACUCUGAGACAGGUGCUGCAUGGCUGUCGUCAGCUCGUGUUGUGAAAUGUUGGGUUAAGUCCCGCAACGAGCGCAACCCUUAUCCUUGUUUGCCAGCGAGUAAUGUCGGGAACUCCAGGGAGACUGCCGGUGAUAAACCGGAGGAAGGUGGGGACGACGUCAAGUCAUCAUGGCCCUUACGAGUAGGGCUACACACGUGCUACAAUGGCGCAUACAGAGGGCAGCCAACUUGCGAAAGUGAGCGAAUCCCAAAAAGUGCGUCGUAGUCCGGAUUGGAGUCUGCAACUCGACUCCAUGAAGUCGGAAUCGCUAGUAAUCGUGGAUCAGAAUGCCACGGUGAAUACGUUCCCGGGCCUUGUACACACCGCCCGUCACACCAUGGGAGUGGGCUGCAAAAGAAGUAGGUAGUUUAACCUUCGGGAGGACGCUUACCACUUUGUGGUUCAUGACUGGGGUGAAGUCGUAACAAGGUAGCGCUAGGGGAACCUGGCGCUGGAUCACCUCCUUAUACGAUGAU